rnacentral:rRNA from 1 species
UACGUAGGGUGCAAGCGUUGUCCGGAAUUAUUGGGCGUAAAGAGCUCGUAGGCGGUUUGUCGCGUCUGCUGUGAAAACCCGAGGCUCAACCUCGAGCCUGCAGUGGGUACGGGCAGACUAGAGUGCGGUAGGGGAGACUGGAAUUCCUGGUGUAGCGGUGGAAUGCGCAGAUAUCAGGAGGAACACCGGUGGGCGAAGGCGGGUCUCUGGGCCGUUACUGACGCUGGAGGAGCGAAAGCAUGGGGAGCGAACAGG